AACGCGAAGAACCUUACCAGGGCUUGACAUCAUGGUGACAGCCGUGGAAACACGGUCUUCCGUCGCAAGACGGACACCAUGACAGGUGUUGCAUGGUUGUCGUCAGCUCGUGUCGUGAGAUGUUGGGUUAAGUCCCGCAACGAGCGCAACCCCUAUCCAGUGUUGCGACCGGGUAAAGCCGAGCACUCACUGGAGACUGCCGGAGACGAUCCGGAGGAAGGUGGGGAUGACGUCAAAUCAUCAUGGCCCUUAUGCCCUGGGCCCACACACGUGCUACAAUGGCCGGUACAACGGGCUGCGAAGGCGCGAGCCGGAGCGAAUCCCUUAAAGCCGGUCUCAGUUGGGAUUGGGGGCUGCAACUCGUCCCCAUGAACCCGGAAUUGCUAGUAAUCG
rnacentral:rRNA from 1 species